AGUGAACGCUGGCGGUAGGCCUAACACAUGCAAGUCGAACGGCAGCACAGUAAGAGCUUGCUCUUACGGGUGGCGAGUGGCGGACGGGUGAGGAAUACAUCGGAAUCUACUUUUUCGUGGGGGAUAACGUAGGGAAACUUACGCUAAUACCGCAUACGACCUACGGGUGAAAGCAGGGGAUCUUCGGACCUUGUGCGAUUGAAUGAGCCGAUGUCGGAUUAGCUAGUUGGCGGGGUAAAGGCCCACCAAGGCGACGAUCCGUAGCUGGUCUGAGAGGAUGGUCAGCCACACGGGAACUGAGACACGGUCCAGACUCCUACGGGAGGCAGCAGUGGGGAAUAUUGGACAAUGGGCGCAAGCCUGAUCCAGCCAUACCGCGUGGGUGAAGAAGGCGUUCGGGUUGUAAAGCCCUUUUGUUGGGAGAGAAAAGCAGCAGGUUAAUACCCCGCUGUUCUGACGGUACCCGAAGAAUAAGCACCGGCUAACUUCGUG
rnacentral:rRNA from 1 species